rnacentral:sRNA from 1 species
UCGAGAUUUUGGCAGCGGCGUCCGUGA